UAGCCACGGGAAUACCAGCCCCGCGAGUGGUCGGGGUGCUUACUGGGCCUAAAGCGGCCGUAGCCGGCCUGGCAAGUCUCCCCUGAAAGCCUCGGGCUCAACCCGAGGACCGGGGAGAUACUACCGGGCUAGGGGGCGGGAGAGGCCGAGGGUACUCCCGGGGUAGGGGCGAAAUCCUAUAAUCCCGGGAGGACCACCCGUGGCGAAGGC
rnacentral:rRNA from 1 species